AUCUUCAGGUUUUCUUUUUUAGGUUAUUCACAGAUCAGUGGGUUUUCCAGCUAAUACAGGUCUGAUGCUCUUCUGUCUUCACACAUGGUAUUCAUCAUAUCUUGACAAGAAAAGACCUUCAGUCUACAAAUAACCUUCACUGAAGUAAGACAUGAAACUGGAUUCUUAAAUCAGGCCUUCCAAAAGAACAUAAAAUUAGAAUUGCCUGCUGAAUGAAGAUAAUUGAGAAAGCAAGCUAGUAUAAUCCCAGAAUUCCCAAAUGUUCUUUUCUCAAUGAUACUUCUAUCUAUGGAGCUGCAGAUGACUGCCCCUCCACAAACCGUCAUCAAGUUAUGCCACUUCAAUGCCCUAAAAUGGAGAGAUGGAGAGAUGGGUGUGGGAAGAGAAAGACACCUUAGCAGCAGAGAGCGGAGAAAACAGUGGCUCCAGGUGGCACACGUGUGGACAGUACAACAGUCUCCCAAGGGCUUCUGGAGGACGGUACUAGUGAGGACUCUUGAUGAAGAAGUUCAGAUAGGAGAUGGUGAACAAAACUUAUCCUAGCAUGUGAAGCUACUAGAAGAAAUGUAAAAGCAUGGAAACUGACAUCCUGGGCAAACAGAUGGGGUCUAGGCACUGCCCAAAGCCCACUAUUAAUCUUGAUGAAACAGCACUUUUACCUGUGGGCUGCUGAGGCCUGAGACAUGCAUAUGAAUUAUAUGCCUAUGAUCAAGUACUGGUGCACCAUAAGUUGUUAUAGAAAUAUAAUACAAUCUAUAUGUUACA